UCCUGACAGCGAAAGCUGACGCUAGCCAAGACAGGAGAUAAAAAUG
rnacentral:ncRNA from 1 species